rnacentral:rRNA from 1 species
GACGAACGCUGGCGGCGUGCUUAACACAUGCAAGUCGAACGGAAAGGCCCUGCUUUUGUGGGGUGCUCGAGUGGCGAACGGGUGAGUAACACGUGAGUAACCUGCCCUUGACUUUGGGAUAACUUCAGGAAACUGGGGCUAAUACCGGAUAGGAGCUCCUGCUGCAUGGUGGGGGUUGGAAAGUUUCGGCGGUUGGGGAUGGACUCGCGGCUUAUCAGCUUGUUGGUGGGGUAGUGGCUUACCAAGGCUUUGACGGGUAGCCGGCCUGAGAGGGUGACCGGCCAGAUUGGGACGGGGAACGGCCCGAGACUCAGGGGGGGGGGGGAGGGGGGGAAUGGUGCAAAGGGGGGGGAGGCCUGAGCCAGCAACGCCGCGUGGGGGAUGGGGGCGUUGGGGUGGUAACCCGUUUGCGCCUGGGAGGAAGGGGGGGUGAGGGUAGGGUGUAAAGAGACGCGGGCAAACCACGGG